rnacentral:rRNA from 1 species
UACGUAGGAUCCAAGCGUUGUCCGGAUUUACUGGGUGUAAAGGGUGCGCAGGCGGACUUGUAAGUCAGAGGUGAAAUCUCUCCGCUCAACGGAGAAACUGCCUUUGAGACUGCAGGUCUUGAAUCCGGGAGAGAGUUGUGGAAUUCCGAGUGUAGCAGUGAAAUGUGUAGAUAUUCGGAAGAACACCAGCGGCGAAGGCAGCAACUUGGCCCGCGAUUGACGCUCAGGCACGAAAGCAUGGGGAUCAAACAGG